AAACCAACAGGGAUUGCYYUAGUAGCGGCGAGUGAAGCGGCAAGAGCYCAAAUUUGAAAUCUGGUACCUUCGGUGCCCGAGUUGUAAUUUGAAGAAAGCUAUCUUGGAUUUGGCCUUUGUCUAUGUUCCUUGGAACAGGACGUCACAGAGGGUGAGAAUCCCGUGCGAUGAGGUGUCCAUUUCUAUGUAAGAUGUUUUCGAAGAGUCGAGUUGUUUGGGAAUGCAGCUCUAAGUGGGUGGUAAAUUCCAUCUAAAGCUAAAUAUUGGCGAGAGACCGAUAGCGAACAAGUACAGUGAUGGAAAGAUGAAAAGAACUUUGAAAAGAGAGUGAAAAAGUACGUGAAAUUGUUGAAAGGGAAGGGUAUUAGAUCAGACUUGGUAUUUAGUUAUCAUUACUCCUUGUGGGUGGUGCUCUAGCUUUUUACUGGGCCAGCAUCAGUUUUGGUGACAGGAUAAUAGCAAUUGAAUGUGGCUCCUCGGAGUGUUAUAGCUUUUGUUGAUACUGUCUACUGGGACUGAGGUCUGCGGCUUUGCCUAGGAUGCUGGCGUAAUGAUCCAAUACCGC
rnacentral:rRNA from 1 species